rnacentral:tRNA from 1 species
UACAUUGUAGUGUAAAGGCACGUAAAUUUUUGGAUUUUAAAGUAAAGGUUCUAUACCUUUUUUUGUAA